rnacentral:rRNA from 1 species
AUUGAACGCUGGCGGAAUGCUUUACACAUGCAAGUCGAACGGCAGCACGGACUUCGGUCUGGUGGCGAGUGGCGAACGGGUGAGUAAUGUAACGGAACGUGCCCAGUCGUGGGGGAUAACGUAGUGAAAAUUACGCUAAUACCGCAUACGAUCUAUGGAUGAAAGCGGGGGAUCGCAAGACCUCGCGCGAUUGGCGCGGCCGAUAUCAGAUUAGGUAGUUGGUGGGGUAAAGGCCCACCAAGCCAACGAUCUGUAGCUGGUCUGAGAGGACGACCAGCCACACUGGAACUGAGACACGGUCCAGUCUCCUACGGGAGGCAGCAGUGGGGAAUUUUGGACAAUGGGCGAAAGCCUGAUCCAGCCAUUCCGCGUGCAGGAUGAAGGCCCUCGGGUUGUAAACUGCUUUUGUACAGAACGAAAAGGUUUCUACUAAUACUAGGAGCUCAUGACGGUACUGUAAGAAUAAGCACCGGCUAACUACGUGCCAGCCGCCGCCGUAA